CUACAUGAAGCUGGAAUCGCUAGUAAUCGCGGAUCAGAAUGCCGCGGUGAAUACGUUCCCGGGUCUUGUACACACCGCCCGUCACACCAUGAGAGUUGGGAAUACCCGAAGCCUGUGAGCUAACAUUUAUGAGGCAGCAGUCGAAGGUAGAAUCAAUGAUUGGGGUGAAGUCGUAACAAGGUAUC
rnacentral:rRNA from 1 species